GCUCGGUGAGGCCUUCGGACUGGCUCAGGGGAGUUGGCAACGACUCCCCAGAGCCGGAAAGUUGGUCACACCCGGUCAUUUAGAGGAAGUAAAAGUCGUAACAAGGUUUCCGUAGGUCACCUGCGGAAGGAUCAUUACCGAGUGAGGGCCCUCUGGGUCCAACCUCCCACCCGUGUCUAUCGUACCUUGUUGCUUCGGCGGGCCCGCCGUUUCGACGGCCGCCGGGGAGGCCUCGCGCCCCCGGGCCCGCGCCCGCCGAAGACCCCAACAUGAACGCUGUUCUGAAAGUAUGCAGUCUGAGUUGAUUAUCAUAAUCAGUUAAAACUUUCAACAACGGAUCUCUUGGUUCCGGCAUCGAUGAAGAACGCAGCGAAAUGCGAUAAGUAAUGUGAAUUGCAGAAUUCAGUGAAUCAUCGAGUCUUUGAACGCACAUUGCGCCCCCUGGUAUUCCGGGGGGCAUGCCUGUCCGAGCGUCAUUGCUGCCCUCAAGCACGGCUUGUGUGUUGGGCCCCCGUCCCCUCUCCCGGGGACGGGCCCGAAAGGCAGCGGCGGCACCGCGUCCGGUCCUCGAGCGUAUGGGGCUUUGUCACCCGCUCUGUAGGCCCGGCCGGCGCCAGCCGACACCCAACUUUAUUUCUAAGGUUGACCUCGGAUCAGGUAG
rnacentral:rRNA from 1 species